rnacentral:lncRNA from 1 species
GCCCCCUAUAAAACUGGCGACACCGCCCCCUUCAUCGCCGCCGUCUCCGACGCCCUACCCGCCCUCUCAUUCCACCGCCUUCCCCCGGUCGCCCUCCCUCCCAACCCCUCCCCCAACCUCGAGGCCCUCGCCUUCGACCUCCUCCGCCUCUCCAACCCUAAUCUCCGCCGCUUCCUCCUUUCCCUCUCCCCCUCUCCCCGCGCCCUCGUUGUCGACUUCUUCUGCGUCCACGCCCUAGACGUCGCUGCCGAUCUCGGCCUCCCCGCCUACAUCUUCUUCACCUCCGGUGCUGCCGUCCUCGCCACUUUCUUCCACUUCCCGGCGCUCCACUCUGCCUCCUCCUCCAGCUUCAAAGACCUCGGCCGCUCCCCUCUCCACAUCCCCGGCCUCCCGCCGCUGCCUGCGAACCACAUGCCGGUCCCCAUGCUCGACAGGGACGACGAGGCCUACGAGGGCUUCCUCUACAUGUCCGGCCGGUUACCCGACUCCCAGGGGAUCCUCAUCAACACCUUCGCUUCCCUCGAGCCGAGAGCCAUCGAAGCCAUCUCCGCCGGCCUCUGCCUCACUGACGGCCGGCCGACGCCACCCAUCUACCCCAUCGGUCCUCUCAUAGCUACCGAGGGCCGGGGCAAACGGGGCAGAGAGGAGUGUCUCUCGUGGCUCGGCACCCAGCCCAAGCGAAGCGUUGUGUUCCUAUGCUUCGGGAGUCUCGGGCUCUUCUCAGCGGAGCAGCUCAGGGAAAUGGCCACCGGGUUGGAGCGUAGCGGGCAGCGGUUCCUGUGGGUCGUCCGGAGCCCUCCGAGUCACGACCCGGCGAAGAAGUUCGCCCCGCCGCCCGAGCCGGACCUGGACGUGUUGUUACCCGACGGGUUUCUAAACCGGACGAAAAGCCGGGGACUCGUGGUGAAGUCAUGGGCGCCUCAGGUGGAUGUGCUGAGCCACGAGGCGGUGGGCGGUUUCGUGACUCACUGCGGGUGGAACUCGGUGCUGGAGGCGAUCAUGGCCGGAAUUCCGAUGAUCGGGUGGCCAGUGUACGCGGAGCAGUGGAUGAACAAAGUUUUCUUAGAGGAGGAGAUGAGGCUGGCGGUGGCGGUGGAGGGGUACGACAAGGAGUUGGUGACGGCGGAGGAGGUGGAGGCGAAGGUGAGAUGGCUGAUGGAGUCGGAGGGGGGAAGGGAGCUGACGGAGAGAACGGCGGCGGCAAAGGAGAGUGCAGCGGCGGCGCUGAGGGAGGGGGGCUCGUCUCACUCGGCGUUGAUGGAGGUCGUCGGCCGCUGGAAGUGCAGCAGAGCGCCGUGAUCGCGUGCGGUGUCGUUUUCGUUUGGGACGUACGUAAGGGAUCGGCCAAAGUGGCGAAAUGUUAAAUUGCUUAAAAAUAUUAUUUACUAUUAAUGGUUUGGCAGUGUUUUAUUUUUUUU